GUGGUGGCACAGAAUCGGAGGCCCCGACUGUUUACUUAAAACACAGCUUUCUGCGACGAAUAAUAUCUUUGUAUAGAAAGCGAAUUUUGCCCAAUGCCAUUAAUAUAAGUAAUUGAAGUUCUGGUCAAUGGCGGUCUUAUCUAUGAGGAUCCUAAGGUAGCAAAAUUAAUUGUCCAUUAAAUGUGGUCCUGACUGAAUAAAGUAACGAUGGUCUCGCUGUCUCUACAAGUAUCUCAGUGAAAUUGAAUUAGCCGUGCAGAUGC
rnacentral:rRNA from 1 species